AGAUUGAACGCUGGCGGCAUGCCUUACACAUGCAAGUCGAACGGCAGCACGGGAGCAAUCCUGGUGGCGAGUGGCGAACGGGUGAGUAAUAUAUCGGAACGUGCCCAGUCGUGGGGGAUAACGUAGAGAAAUUUACGCUAAUACCGCAUACGACCCAAGGAUGAAAGCGGGGGACCGUAAGGCCUCGCGCGACUGGAGCGGCUGAUAUCAGAUUAGCUUGUUGGUGAGGUAAAAGCUCACCAAGGCGACGAUCUGUAGCUGGUUUGAGAGAACGACCAGCCACACUGGGACUGAGACACGGCCCAGACUCCUACGGGAGGCAGCAGUGGGGAAUUUUGGACAAUGGGCGAAAGCCUGAUCCAGCAAUGCCGCGUGCAGGAAGAAGGCCUUCGGUUGUAAACUGCUUUUGUACGGAACGAAACGGUCUGGUUAAUACCUCGGCUAAGUGACGGUACCGUAAGAAUAAGCACCGGCUAACUACGUGCCAGCAGCCG
rnacentral:rRNA from 1 species